GAUGAACGCUGGCGGCGUGCCUAAUACAUGCAAGUCGAGCGAACGGACGAGAAGCUUGCUUCUCUGAUGUUAGCGGCGGACGGGUGAGUAACACGUGGAUAACCUACCUAUAAGACUGGGAUAACUUCGGGAAACCGGAGCUAAUACCGGAUGAUAUUUUGAACCGCAUGGUUCAAAAGUGAAAGACGGUCUUGCUGUCACUUAUAGAUGGAUCCGCGCUGCAUUAGCUAGUUGGUAAGGUAACGGCUUACCAAGGCAACGAUGCAUAGCCGACCUGAGAGGGUGAUCGGCCACACUGGAACUGAGACACGGUCCAGACUCCUACGGGAGGCAGCAGUAGGGAAUCUUCCGCAAUGGGCGAAAGCCUGACGGAGCAACGCCGCGUGAGUGAUGAAGGUCUUCGGAUCGUAAAACUCUGUUAUUAGGGAAGAACAUAUGUGUAAGUAACUGUGCGCAUCUUGACGGUACCUAAUCAGAAAGCCACGGCUAACUACGUGCCAGCAGCCGCGGUAAUACGUAGGUGGCAAGCGUUAUCCGGAAUUAUUGGGCGUAAAGCGCGCGUAGGCGGUUUUUUAGUCUGAUGUGAAAGCCCACGGCUCAACCGUGGAGGGUCAUUGGAAACUGGAAAACUUGAGUGCAGAAGAGGAAAGUGGAAUUCCAUGUGUAGCGGUGAAAUGCGCAGAGAUAUGGAGGAACACCAGUGGCGAAGGCGACUUUCUGGUCUGUAACUGACGCUGAUGUGCGAAAGCGUGGGGAUCAAACAGGAUUAGAUACCCUGGUAGUCCACGCCGUAAACGAUGAGUGCUAAGUGUUAGGGGGUUUCCGCCCCUUAGUGCUGCAGCUAACGCAUUAAGCACUCCGCCUGGGGAGUACGACCGCAAGGUUGAAACUCAAAGGAAUUGACGGGGACCCGCACAAGCGGUGGAGCAUGUGGUUUAAUUCGAAGCAACGCGAAGAACCUUACCAAAUCUUGACAUCCUUUGACAACUCUAGAGAUAGAGCCUUCCCCUUCGGGGGACAAAGUGACAGGUGGUGCAUGGUUGUCGUCAGCUCGUGUCGUGAGAUGUUGGGUUAAGUCCCGCAACGAGCGCAACCCUUAAGCUUAGUUGCCAUCAUUAAGUUGGGCACUCUAAGUUGACUGCCGGUGACAAACCGGAGGAAGGUGGGGAUGACGUCAAAUCAUCAUGCCCCUUAUGAUUUGGGCUACACACGUGCUACAAUGGACAAUACAAAGGGCAGCGAGGCCGCGAGGUCAAGCAAAUCCCAUAAAGUUGUUCUCAGUUCGGAUUGUAGUCUGCAACUCGACUACAUGAAGCUGGAAUCGCUAGUAAUCGUAGAUCAGCAUGCUACGGUGAAUACGUUCCCGGGUCU
rnacentral:rRNA from 1 species